rnacentral:rRNA from 1 species
GAUGAACGCUGGCGGCGUGCCUAAUACAUGCAAGUCGAGCGAACGGACGAGAAGCUUGCUUCUCUGGUGUUAGCGGCGGACGGGUGAGUAACACGUGGAUAACCUACCUAUAAGACUGGGAUAACUUCGGGAAACCGGAGCUAAUACCGGAUAAUAUUUUGAACCGCAUGGUUCAAAAGUGAAAGACGGUCUUGCUGUCACUUAUAGAUGGAUCGGCGCUGCAUUAGCUAGUUGGUAAGGUAACGGCUUACCAAGGCAACGAUGCGUAGCCGACCUGAGAGGGUGAUCGGCCACACUGGAACUGAGACACGGUCCAGACUCCUACGGGAGGCAGCAGUAGGGAAUCUUCCGCAAUGGGCGAAAGCCUGACGGAGCAACGCCGCGUGAGUGAUGAAGGUCUUCGGAUCGUAAAACUCUGUUAUUAGGGAAGAACAUAUGUGUAAGUAACUGUGCACAUCUUGACGGUACCUAAUCAGAAAGCCACGGCUAACUACGUG